GUACAAUAUGUAGUGAGUCAGAAGAUAAAGGAGACUACAAGGGCUCUUGUGAAGAAUCUGAAAGGACAUUUUGUGACCCUAUCAACAAAUAAGUUUAGCAGUCAUCUGGUGGAGAAGUUCUUGAAAGAAUCUGAUGAUGAGUUUGUUAUUAAGUUUAUCAUUGAGGAGUUGAUUGAUAAAUCUAACACUCUGAUGCUUCUUCAAGAUCAGUAUGCCAACUUUGUUAUGCAGUAAGAUUUGGAUGUUUCUAAGGAGGUUUCCAUGUUCAAUAAUUUUGCUCUGCAGGAGAUCUAUUGAAGUUUGUGGGGGUAGAGCCGUGUACACAGUGACAAACCAUCUGAUGGGAGAUGUAAAGAAACAGGCAGACCAAUGUUCAGGGGGGAAGAGCAAAAGAAACUGGAUAUUCUUUCAAAUGAUGUAUUUGUUAAGGCUCUCGUAAGCAGUGGAAGAACAGUAAAUCUUCGAGAACUAUUGAGUUAGAUUUGGCUAUGGUGUUCAAUGGAUUUGCAAUUGGUUAAGUAAUUUAUUCAAUCCUUCUUAUCGACAGUCUAUUCUAGUAAAGGGAAGAGGAUGAAGAAGGAACUUUUGUGGAUCCAGCGUUGUGUGGAAGGAUGAUGGUUCCUUGGUGUUGAUAUUUUCACUUACGGGGAGUAAUGCUCAAGAUGGACAUUUAGCUACUGGCCGAAAUGGUGUCAAACGACUAUGAACGGUCAGGCGUCCAAAUAUCUUAUCAUUUCUUCACGGCACAGAGGCCGAGAUUUUUGAUGGUGCUACUCCAAAGCAUACUACCUACAUUGUGACAGAGCCUGUCAUGGCACUCUCUGAGAAGAUUAAGGAACUAGGCCUUGAAGGUACUCAGGGGAAGAAUUUGAAUCUGAACUUGAGGAGUUGGAAGGAGAUGAGUUGGAGGAACAACUUCUACAACCUAUAGUCCAAACUCAGGUUCAAAUCAAGGAGAUGCAUGGAAGGCAUUGCUUGAUGCAGCUGGAGUGAUCAAAGAUUAACCAACUGAUGAAAACUUAAGGGAUUGAAUGGUUGGCUCCGUUGGUGUUUCUGCAACAACUUGAGUUGGUGGAAGGAGAAGAGGGCUUAUAUGGUUAUACCCUGAAAUCACACUCACGCAAGAGGUUCUACCAUUAAAUGGAAGCCAUUAUGUCCCUUAGCAGCUGCAAGUUUUGAGUAAGUUUCUAUGUAGUUUCUGCUUAUAGUGAUUUAAGUGAGAAUGAACUGAACUUAGU